AAAUGAAUAGACGGGGACCCGCACAAGCAGUGGAGUAUGUGGUUUAAUUCGAAGCAACGCGAAGAACCUUACCAAGUCUUGACAUCCCUCUGAAUCCUCUAGAGAUAGAGGCGGCCUUCGGGACAGAGGAGACAGGUGGUGCAUGGUUGUCGUCAGCUCGUGUCGUGAGAUGUUGGGUUAAGUCCCGCAACGAGCGCAACCCUUGAUCUUAGUUGCCAGCACUUUGGGUGGGCACUCUAAGGUGACUGCCGGUGACAAACCGGAGGAAGGUGGGGAUGACGUCAAAUCAUCAUGCCCCUUAUGACUUGGGCUACACACGUACUACAAUGGCUGGUACAACGGGAAGCGAAGCCGCGAGGUGGAGCCAAUCCUAAAAAGCCAGUCUCAGUUCGGAUUGCAGGCUGCAACUCGCCUGCAUGAAGUCGGAAUUGCUAGUAAUCGCGGAUCAGCAUGCCGCGGUGAAUACGUUCCCGGGUCUUGUACACACCGCCCGU
rnacentral:rRNA from 1 species